GGUUAUGCAGUUUCCACUUGAACUGACAUAGCCUAUAAUUAUACCUAUUAGAAAAGGGAUGAAACGGUUGUUCAAAUUUCAUUCAAUAAUAAGGCCAUGGGUGCUUGAAAAGUCAUGGAUCAGUUUUGCAAAAGUUGGGAACACUACCGAUAGAUAUGCCCCAUUGUGCCAAUAUUCGGAGAACCAAUGAUGUCAUGUGAUAUCACAAUGCUAGUAUUUAUUGGUCACAUUUUAGUCACGUGAUUGAGGUAUGGAUGUCUUGUAGGCCUUGUCGUGUUGCUACGGACGCACAUUCUCAGGUUUCUGAACUGACCCAGCCUAGCUGCAUUUGGAGGGUAGGCAACCGAUAGUGUUUUUUUUUUUUUUUUUUCAUUUUUAUGGCUAUGGCCAUGGCAAAGUCAAAAACCGAUGCACUGUGUGCCUUAAACGUGCGGAGAGAGAAUUGGUGUCGAAUUGAGGCUGGCAGCGAAUUCUGGCAACGACCCGAGAAAAGGCACUUCGUUUGUCAUCUUCAGAACACCCGCGAUCUUGGAGCCCAGCAAACAGUUCCGACAGUGGAGAGAACCAGCUGGAUGAAACGCACUCCUCGUGCCCGUAUCAUCGAACGCAGACACUUCGACGAGAGCUAUAAAUCCCAUUUGGUGUGACGAAGAUGACGGAUUCACACAUAUUUGUUAUAUAAAUAGGUUACCAAAUAUAUUCAGAUAGUCUGCUAUUUUAUUCAUCUUUAGGUCUAUUCAACAGGUUUUGGUAACAAUGUAAGCAAUACGAUCACAAAUAUGUGAUUUGUACUCCCUUUACCUGUACUGAUAUGUGAAGACGUGGGUCUGAUUAUGUUGGAACAUAGGGUAUAAUGUACUAAAAACCUUUAAGUAUCUAUGUAACUUGAAAACCGACGGUUUGACUGUUCAGUGGAUUUGCCUGUUAUGAAUGAAGGUUUGAUGAUGUAAUAAUGAACUCAAGGCAAAUGGCUGUUAAUAAAACUAAAUCUGCACUGUA